AUACGGAAGGUCCGGGCGUUAUCCGGAUUUAUUGGGUUUAAAGGGAGCGCAGGCGGAGAUGCAAGCGUGACGUCAAAUUUCGGGGCUCAACCCCGUCUCGCGUCGCGAACUGCGUCCCUUGGUUGCGGGAAGGGGAGGCGGAACUCGUGGUGUAGCGGUGAAAUGCAUAGAUAUCACGAAGAACUCCGAUCGCGAAGGCAGCCUUCCGGCCCGUAAACGACGCUCAUGCUCGAAGGUGCGGGUAUCAAACAGGAUUAGAUACCCUGGUAGUCCGCACAGUAAACGAUGGACACCCGCGGUUUGGCCUGUAUGGCUGAGCCGCCAAGCGAAAGCGUUAAGUGUCCCACCUGGGGAGUACGCCGGCAACGGUGAAACUCAAAUGAAUUGACGGGG
rnacentral:rRNA from 1 species